rnacentral:rRNA from 1 species
CCCUUAGAUGUUCUGGGCCGCACGCGUGCUACACUGAUGCAUUCAACGAGUCUAAAACCUGGUCUGAUAGGGCUGGGUAAUCUUUUGAAAGUGCAUCGUGAUUGGGAUAGAUGAUUGCAAUUCUUCAUCUUCAACGAGGAAUGCCUAGUAAACGCAAGUCAUCAGCUUGCAUUGAUUACGUCCCUGCCCUUUGUACACACCGCCCGUCGCUCCUACCGAUUGAAUGGUUUAGUGAGAUCUUCGGAUUGGCGCCACUGCGGCUCAGCAAUGGGCUCGGUGGAUGCCGAAAAGUUGAUCAAACUUGAUCAUUUAGAGGAAGUAAAAGUCGUAACA